CGGGACGGGUGAGUAACGCGUGGGUAACCUGCCUUAUACAGGGGGAUAACAGUCAGAAAUGGCUGCUAAUACCGCAUAAGCGCACAGAGCUGCAUGGCUCAGUGUGAAAAACUCCGGUGGUAUAAGAUGGACCCGCGUUGGAUUAGCUAGUUGGUGGGGUAACGGCCCACCAAGGCGACGAUCCAUAGCCGGCCUGAGAGGGUGAACGGUCACAUUGGGACUGAGACACGGCCCAGACUCCUACGGGAGGCAGCAUG
rnacentral:rRNA from 1 species